rnacentral:rRNA from 1 species
UUUACGGAGAGUUUGAUCCUGGCUCAGGAUGAACGCUGGCGGCGUGCUUAACACAUGCAAGUCGAACGAUGAAGCCGGAGCUUGCUCUGGUGGAUUAGUGGCGAACGGGUGAGUAACACGUGAGUAACCUACCCUUGACUCUGGGAUAAGCCCGGGAAACUGGGUCUAAUACCGGAUAUGAGUCAUCACCGCAUGGUGGUGGUUUGAAAGAUUUAUCGGUCUUGGAUGGACUCGCGGCCUAUCAGCUUGUUGGUGAGGUAAUGGCUCACCAAGGCGACGACGGGUAGCCGGCCUGAGAGGGUGACCGGCCACACUGGGACUGAGACACGGCCCAGACUCCUACGGGAGGCAGCAGUGGGGAAUAUUGCACAAUGGGCGGAAGCCUGAUGCAGCGACGCCGCGUGAGGGAUGACGGCCUUCGGGUUGUAAACCUCUUUCAGUAGGGAAGAAGCGAAAGUGACGGUACCUGCAGAAGAAGCACCGGCUAACUACGUGCCAGCAGCCGCGGUAAUACGUAGGGUGCGAGCGUUAUCCGGAAUUAUUGGGCGUAAAGAGCUCGUAGGCGGUUUGUCGCGUCUGUCGUGAAAGUCCGGGGCUUAACCCCGGAUCUGCGGUGGGUACGGGCAGACUAGAGUGCAGUAGGGGAGACUGGAAUUCCUGGUGUAGCGGUGGAAUGCGCAGAUAUCAGGAGGAACACCGAUGGCGAAGGCAGGUCUCUGGGCUGUAACUGACGCUGAGGAGCGAAAGCAUGGGGAGCGAACAGGAUUAGAUACCCUGGUAGUCCAUGCCGUAAACGUUGGGCACUAGGUGUGGGGAACAUUCCACGUUUUCCGCGCCGUAGCUAACGCAUUAAGUGCCCCGCCUGGGGAGUACGGCCGCAAGGCUAAAACUCAAAGGAAUUGACGGGGGCCCGCACAAGCGGCGGAGCAUGCGGAUUAAUUCGAUGCAACGCGAAGAACCUUACCAAGGCUUGACAUGUUCUCGUUCGCCGUAGAGAUACGGUUUCCCCUUUGGGGCGGGUUCACAGGUGGUGCAUGGUUGUCGUCAGCUCGUGUCGUGAGAUGUUGGGUUAAGUCCCGCAACGAGCGCAACCCUCGUUCCAUGUUGCCAGCACUUCGGGUGGGGACUCAUGGGAGACUGCCGGGGUCAACUCGGAGGAAGGUGGGGACGACGUCAAAUCAUCAUGCCCCUUAUGUCUUGGGCUUCACGCAUGCUACAAUGGCCGGUACAAUGGGUUGCGAUACUGUGAGGUGGAGCUAAUCCCUAAAAGCCGGUCUCAGUUCGGAUUGGGGUCUGCAACUCGACCCCAUGAAGUUGGAGUCGCUAGUAAUCGUAGAUCAGCAACGCUACGGUGAAUACGUUCCCGGGCCUUGUACACACCGCCCGUCAAGUCACGAAAGUCGGUAACACCCGAAGCCGGUGGCCUAACCCUUGUGGGGGGAGCCGUCGAAGGUGGGACUGGCGAUUGGGACUAAGUCGUAACAAGGUAGCCGUACCGGAAGGUGCGGCUGGAUCACCUCCUUU